UACAGAGGUCUCAAGCGUUGUUCGGAUUCAUUGGGCGUAAAGGGCGCGUAGGCUGCGGGGCAAGUCGGGGUGUGAAAUCUCAGAGCUCAACUCUGAAAACUGCACUCGAUACUGCUUUGCUCGAGGACUGGAGAGGAGAUUGGAAUUCACGGUGUAGCAGUGAAAUGCGUAGAUAUCGUGAGGAAGACCAGUGGCGAAGGCGGAUCUCUGGACAGUUCCUGACGCUGAGGCGCGAAGGCCAGGGGGAGCAAACGGG
rnacentral:rRNA from 1 species